GAUGAAGAACGCAGUGAAAUGUGAUAAGUAAUGUGAAUUGCAGAAUCUCGUGAAUCAUCGAAUCUUUGAACGCACAUUGCGCCCAAUGGUAUUCCAUUGGGCAUACCUGUUUGAGUAUCAGAAUCCUUUCAAUUAUCAAACUUUUAUAUAUAGAGAUGUAUGUAAAGAUGUUUGGAAUGAAGUUGAGAAAAGUAGUAUUGUUUAUAAUAUUACUUUCUUAAAAACCAGAAAUAUUAUGUUUUGAUUUUUCUUCACCUCAUUUUGUAUGAAAUUUUAACAAAUGAGUAUGAGUAAAAAUAACAAUACUUUGGAUGACCUCAAAUCAGGUAGGGAUACCCGCUGAACUUAAGCAUAUCAAUAAGCGGAGGA
rnacentral:misc_RNA from 1 species